AGUGAACGCUGGCGGUAGGCCUAACACAUGCAAGUCGAACGGCAGCACAGUAAGAGCUUGCUCUUACGGGUGGCGAGUGGCGGACGGGUGAGGAAUACAUCGGAAUCUACUUUUUCGUGGGGGAUAACGUAGGGAAACUUACGCUAAUACCGCAUACGACCUACGGGUGAAAGCAGGGGAUCUUCGGACCUUGCGCGAUUGAAUGAGCCGAUGUCGGAUUAGCUAGUUGGCGGGGUAAAGGCCCACCAAGGCGACGAUCCGUAGCUGGUCUGAGAGGAUGAUCAGCCACACUGGAACUGAGACACGGUCCAGACUCCUACGAGAGGCAGCAGUGGGGAAUAUUGGACAAUGGGCGCAAGCCUGAUCCAGCCAUACCGCGUGGGUGAAGAAGGCCUUCGGGUUGUAAAGCCCUUUUGUUGGGAAAGAAAAGCAGCAGGUUAAUACCCCGCUGUUCUGACGGUACCCAAAGAAUAAGCACCAGCUAACUUCGUG
rnacentral:rRNA from 1 species